ACUAGCCAAGCAAAUGAAGUUGAGGUGAUUGCUAGUGACGGAGUAAUUCAAGAGGACGAAGAUGCUUAUGAUGACGACGAAGAGCAAGAGGAAGGGUUUCAUGGUAAUGAUGUUGGUGACUUGGAUGCGUACAUAGCGCAAAAGGACAUGGAUCGUGACUUGCCUUUUAGGCGUCAAUAUGCGUAUGAUUCGGAUGACGAGGGUCCAGUUGAACAGUUGGACGAGGAUGGAUUCACAAAGGAGGAGAACCAAAUCCACUUUGAGCUGACGGGCUUACAAAAAAGAACUCACUUGUUUAAAGAUCUCAGCCUUGCCCAUAAAGCUGUUGUU
rnacentral:rRNA from 1 species